CAGUAGCCGCGGGAAUACGAAGGGUGCAAGCGUUACUCGGAAUUACUGGGCGUAAAGCGUGCGUAGGUGGUGGUUUAAGUCCGUUGUGAAAGCCCUGGGCUCAACCUGGGAAUUGCAGUGGAUACUGGGUCACUAGAGUGUGGUAGAGGAUAGUGGAAUUUCCGGUGUAGCAGUGAAAUGCGUAGAGAUCUGGAGGAAUACCGAUGGCGAAGGCAGCCAUCUGGCCUAACACUGACGCUGAGGUACGAAAGCAUGGGGAGCAAACAGGAUUAGAUACCCCGGUAGUCCCUGUCUCUUAUAA
rnacentral:rRNA from 1 species